rnacentral:rRNA from 2 species
UGCAAGUCGAGCGGACCGACGGGAGCUUGCUCCCUUAGGUCAGCGGCGGACGGGUGAGUAACACGUGGGUAACCUGCCUGUAAGACUGGGAUAACUCCGGGAAACCGGGGCUAAUACCGGAUGCUUGAUUGAACCGCAUGGUUCAAUCAUAAAAGGUGGCUUUUAGCUACCACUUACAGAUGGACCCGCGGCGCAAUAACUAGUUGGUGAGGUAACGGCUCACCAAGGCGACGAUGCGUAACCCACCUGAGAGGGUGAUCGGCCACACUGGGACUGAAACACGGCCCAGACUCCUACGGGAGGCAGCAGUAGGGAAUCUUCCGCAAUGGACGAAAGUCUGACGGAACAACGCCGCGUGAGUGAUGAAGGUUUUCGGAUCGUAAAACUCUGUUGUUAGGGAAGAACAAGUACCGUUCGAAUAGGGCGGCACCUUGACGGUACCUAACCAGAAAGCCACGGCUAACUACGUGCCAGCAGCCGCGGUAAUACGUAAGUGGCAAGCGUUGUCCGGAAUUAUUGGGCGUAAAGCGCGCGCAGGCGGUUUCUUAAGUCUGAUGUGAAAGCCCCCGGCUCAACCGGGGAGGGUCAUUGGAAACUGGGGAACUUGAGUGCAGAAGAAGAGAGUGGAAUUCCACGUGUAGCGGUGAAAUGCGUAGAGAUGUGGAGGAACACCAGUGGCGAAAGCGACUCUCUGGUCUGUAACUGACGCUGAGGCGCGAAAGCGUGGGGAGCGAACAGGAUUAGAUACCCUGGUAGUCCACGCCGUAAACGAUGAGUGCUAAGUGUUAGAGGGUUUCCGCCCUUUAGUGCUGCAGCAAACGCAUUAAGCACUCCGCCUGGGGAGUACGGUCGCCAGACUGAA